ensembl:lncRNA
UUGGAGCAAAUAACCGAAGAAGCUGGAAACAGGACACUGGCACAAAGAUCUGAGGUGCAGCUGGGUACAAUCCUGAGGGAAAUCAGUUUGUUCCGUGCGCCGUCUUCAACUGUAAUGGAUGUGUUUUUUCGUUUCAGCCUGUCUAUCUGUUUGUGUGAAGAAAGGGGAAGAAGAAAAGUGACUCUUUGUCAAAAAGAAACUGGAACCAAUUACGCCCAAUGCUAAGCGUGUCCACUGCGGAUAUUGCUGGCGUAUCCACGCUUGUAUAUACAACCCCUCAACCUCAGCCUUUCUCAAGGUCCAGUCCCACAUGGCAGCCCACACUGUUUUGUCAGCUCAUUCUGCAUCCUAUUGUGUGACAUGGAGUAUGG